rnacentral:rRNA from 1 species
AAAGACCCCGUGAACCUUUACUAUAGCUUGACACUGAACAUUGAGCCUUGAUGUGUAGGAUAGGUGGGAGGCUUUGAAGUGUGGACGCCAGUCUGCAUGGAGCCGGCCUUGAAAUACCACCCUUUAAUGUUUGAUGUUCUAACGUUGACCCGUGAUCCGGGUUGCGGACAGUGUCUGGUGGGUAGUUUGACUGGGGCGGUCUCCUCCUAAAGAGUAACGGAGGAGCACGAAGGUUGGCUAAUCCUGGUCGGACAUCAGGAGGUUAGUGCAAUGGCAUAAGCCAGCUUGACUGCGAGCGUGACGGCGCGAGCAGGUGCGAAAGCAGGUCAUAGUGAUCCGGUGGUUCUGAAUGGAAGGGCCAUCGCUCAACGGAUAAAAGGUACUCCGGGGAUAACAGGCUGAUACCGCCCAAGAGUUCAUAUCGACGGCGGUGUUUGGCACCUCGAUGUCGGCUCAUCACAUCCUGGGGCUGAAGUAGGUCCCAAGGGUAUGGCUGUUCGCCAUUUAAAGUGGUACGCGAGCUGGGUUUAGAACGUCGUGAGACAGUUCGGUCCCUAUCUGCCGUGGGCGCUGGAGAACUGAGGGGGGCUGCUCCUAGUACGAGAGGACCGGAGUGGACGCAUCACUGGUGUUCGGGUUGUCAUGCCAAUGGCACUGCCCGGUAGCUAAAUGCGGAAGAGAUAAGUGCUGAAAGCAUCUAAGCACGAAACUUGCCCCGAGA